GGGCGCUUGGCACAGGGGUAGCGCGCACGCUUCGCAUCUUCGUAGAUCCCUGCGUGAGGUCGAGGGUUCAAUUCCCUCAGUGUCCA